rnacentral:rRNA from 1 species
UCAGAUUUGAAAGCCUCUCGGGGCAUUGUAUUCUGAAGCCUUGAUUCUGAGAACCGGUACCUAAGUCUUCUGGAAAGGAGCGCCAAGGAGGGUGAUAGCCCCGUACGGUACUGACCUCAUUGUAGAAUCUUGGCGUGGAGUCGAGUUGUUUGGGAAUGCAGCUCAAAUGGGUGGUAUGCUCCAUCUAAAGCUAAAUAUCUGCGAGAGACCGAUAGCGAACAAGUACUGUGAAGGAAAGAUGAAAAGAACUUUGAAAAGAGAGUGAAAAAGUACGUGAAAUUGUUGAAAUGGAAGGGUAGGCCGCUAACCACGUAGAGCCGUGUCUGAGGGGAGGAUAAAAGCUGUAGAAUGUGGCUCUUCGGAGUGUUAUAGCUACAGUGCAUACUCC